ACAUGCAAGUCGAGGGUAACGAGGGUAGCGAAUACCGCUGACGACCGGCGCACGGGUGAGUAACGCGUAUGCAACCUGCCUAUAACUGGGGAAUAGCUCCCUGAAAGGGGAAUUAACACCGCAUAACACUAUUGAUUCGCAUGGAUUAGUAGUUAAAUGUAGCGAUACAGGUUAUAGAUGGGCAUGCGUGACAUUAGCUAGUUGGUGAGGUAACGGCUCACCAAGGCUACGAUGUCUAGGGGUUCUGAGAGGAAGGUCCCCCACACUGGUACUGAGACACGGACCAGACUCCUACGGGAGGCAGCAGUGAGGAAUAUUGGUCAAUGGGCGCAAGCCUGAACCAGCCAUGUCGCGUGCAGGAAGACUGCCCCUAUGGGUUGUAAACUGCUUUUAUAGUAGAAGAAACACAUCUACGUGUAGAUGUCUGCCAGUAUACUAUGAAUAAGCAUCGGCUAACUCCGUGCCAGCAGCAGC
rnacentral:rRNA from 1 species